rnacentral:ncRNA from 1 species
UAGCGUUAAGGGCAAACCUGUCUAAAGACAGGGACGCAAAGCCAUAGGGUCUAAAGUGCUCGAUGAACUAUGACAGCCGGUUGCCGCA